rnacentral:rRNA from 1 species
CCGGACCUGACUGCUAUCGGAUUGGUACUAAGCCAUGCGAGUCAUUGUAGCAAUACAAGGCGGACGGCUCAGUAACACGUAGUCAACCUAACCUAUGGACGUGGAUAACCUCGGGAAACUGAGAAUAAACCGCGAUAGAUCAUUAUGCCUGGAAUGGCUUAUGGUUCAAACAAUUUAUUGCCGUAGGAUGGGACUGCGGCCUAUCAGCUUGUUGGUGAGGUAAUGGCCCACCAAGGCUAUAACAGGUACGGGCUCUGAGAGGAGAAGCCCGGAGAUGGGUACUGAGACACGGACCCAGGCCCUAUGGGGCGCAGCAGGCGAGAAACCUUAGCAAUGUGCGAAAGCACGACUAGGUUAAUCCGAGUGAUUCCUGUUGAAGGAAUCUUUUGUCAGUCGUAAAACCACAGACGAAUAAGGGGUGGGCAAGUCUGGUGUCAGCCGCCGCGGUAAUACCAGCACCUCGAGUGGUCAGGAGGUUUAUUGGGCCUAAAGCAUCCGUAGCCGGCUUUGCAAGUCUCCGGUUAAAUCCAGCUGCUCAACAGAUGGGCUGCCGGAGAUACUACACAGCUAGGGAGCGGGAGAGGCAGACGGUAUUCUGUGGGUAGGGGUAAAAUCCACUGAUCCAUAGAGGACCACCAGUGGCGAAGGCGGUCUGCCAGAACGCGCUCGACGGUGAGGGAUGAAAGCUGGGGGAGCAAACCGGAUUAGAUACCCGGGUAGUCCCAGCUGUAAACGAUGCAAACUCGGUGAUGCAUUGGCUUAUGGCCAAUGCAGUGCCGCAUGGAAGCCGUUAAGUUUGCCGCCUGGGAAGUACGGACGCAAGUCUGAAACUUAAAGGAAUUGGCGGGG